CCCGCUGAACUUAAGCAUAUCAAUAAGCGGAGGAAAAGAAACUAACAAGGAUUCCCUUAGUAACUGCGAGUGAAGUGGGAAAAGCUCAAAUUUAGAAUCUGGCAGUCACUUGGCUGUCCGAGUUGUAAUCUAGAGAAGUGUUGCCCGUGCUGGACCAUGUACAAGUCUCCUGGAAUGGAGCAUCACAGAGGGUGAGGAUCCUGUCUUUGACAUGGACUGCCAGUGCUUUUGUGGUAUGCUCUCAAAGAGUCGAGUUGUUUGGGAAUGCAGCUCAAAAUGGGUGGUAAAUGCCACCUAAAGCUAAAUAUUGGCGAGAGACCGAUAGCGAACAAGUACCGUGAGGGAAAGAUGAAAAGAACUUUGGAAAGAGAGUUAAACAGUACGUGAAAUUGCUGAAAGGGAAACGCUUGAAGUCAGUCACGUUGACUCGGAAUCAGCUCUGCUUUUGCUGGGUGUACUUUCUUGUCAAUGGGUCAGCAUCAAUUUUUACCAUUGGAUAAAGUUGCUGGGAACGUAGCAUCCUUUUGGAUGUGUUAUAGCCUGGUGAUGCAUACAGUGGUUGGGAUUGAGGAAUUCAGCACGCCACCAGGGCCGGGUUUUGACCACGUUCGUGCUUAGGAUGCUGGCAUAAUGGCUUUAAUUGACCCGUCUUGAAACACGG
rnacentral:rRNA from 1 species